ACUCCUACGGGAGGCAGCAGUGAGGAAUAUUGCACAAUGGGCGAAAGCCUGAUGCAGCAACGCCGCGUGAGGGACGAAGGCCUUCGGGUCGUAAACCUCUUUUCUGGGGGAAGAGACAAGGACGGUACCUCAGGAAUAAGUCUCGGCUAACUACGUGCCAGCAGCCGCGGUAAAACGUAGGAGGCGAGCGUUAUCCGGAUUUACUGGGCGUAAAGCGCACGCAGGCGGCUCCGUUAGUCGGAUGUGAAAGCUCCUGGCUUAACUAGGAGAGGCCAUUCGAUACUGCGGGGCUUGAGGUUGGGAGAGGGGUGUGGAAUUCCCGGUGUAGUGGUGGAAUGCGUAGAUAUCGGGAGGAACACCAGUGGCGAAGGCGGCACCCUGGCCCACACCUGACGCUGAGGUGCGAAAGCGUGGGUAGCAAACAGGAUUAGAUACCCUGGUAGUCCACGCUGUAAACUAUGUCAACUAGGUGUUGGUAGUGUUACACUAUCAGUGCCGAAGCAAACGCGUUAAGUUGACCGCCUGGGGACUACGGCCGCAAGGCUAAAACUCAAAGGAAUUGACGG
rnacentral:rRNA from 1 species